UACGGGGGGGGCAAGCGUUGUUCGGAAUUACUGGGCGUAAAGGGCUCGUAGGUGGCCAACUAAGUCAGACGUGAAAUCCCUCGGCUUAACCGGGGAACUGCGUCUGAUACUGGAUGGCUUGAGUUCGGGAGAGGGAUGCGGAAUUCCAGGUGUAGCGGUGAAAUGCGUAGAUAUCUGGAGGAACACCGGUGGCGAAGGCGGCAUCCUGGACCGAGAUUGACGCUGAGGCGCGAAAGCGUGGGGAGCAAACAGG
rnacentral:rRNA from 1 species